UACGGGGGGGGGCAAGCGUUGUUCGGAAUUACUGGGCGUAAAGGCUCGUAGGCGGCCAACUAAGUCAUACGUGAAAUCCCUCAGCUUAACUGGGGGAACUGCGUGUGAUACUGGAUGGCUUGGAUUUGGGAGAGGGAUGCGGAAUUCCAGGUGUAGCGGUGAAAUGCGUAGAUAUCGGGAGGAACACCAGUGGCGAAGGCAGCACUCUGGGGCG
rnacentral:rRNA from 1 species